rnacentral:lncRNA from 1 species
GGAAAUGAUAUGAUCAACAAGCUGUAACAGCCCUAGUAAUUAGGAGGCUAAAACAAAUAAUCAUCAAAGUGAUUAAGGAAUAAAUUAGAGCUAACUUUAAGUUGCUAAGAGUUAAGAUCCAAAAACACCUCAAAUUUUGCCAAGUCUUAAAACUCCUUCCUGCUGAUAAUCUCUUGUGAGGCAAAAAGUAAAAACAAAUUUUAUGAAAGAACUUAAAUUUUGGCCAAUAUACAAGUGGUAGCCCUCUUCAAAUGGAACCCUUCCACUCAUAGUACUUCCUCUGAUUUUGAGCAGAGAGUGUUCCAAAAUCGAGUAGAUGAUCGGUCAAAUUUCAAAUCCAAUUCAACAACACCUUUGAGCGACAUCCCGCCAAGUUCCCCCAUCCAAAUUCCAAAUCCACC